GAUGAACGCUGGCGGCGUGCCUAAUACAUGCAAGUCGAGCGAAUGGAUUAAGAGCUUGCUCUUAUGAAGUUAGCGGCGGACGGGUGAGUAACACGUGGGUAACCUGCCCUUGACUCUGGGAUAACUGCGGGAAACUGUAGCUAAUACCGGAUACGACCCUCGGCGGCAUCGCCAGGGGGUGGAAAGAAUUUCGGUCAAGGAUGGACUCGCGGCCUAUCAGCUAGUUGGUGAGGUAAAGGCUCACCAAGGCGACGACGGGUAGCCGGCCUGAGAGGGUGACCGGCCACACUGGGACUGAGACACGGCCCAGACUCCUACGGGAGGCAGCAGUGGGGAAUAUUGCACAAUGGGCGCAAGCCUGAUGCAGCAACGCCGCGUGAGGGAUGACGGCCUUCGGGUUGUAAACCUCUUUUAGUAGGGAAGAAGCGAAAGUGACGGUACCUGCAGAAAAAGCACCGGCUAACCACGUGCCAGCCGCCGCGGUAA
rnacentral:rRNA from 1 species